AAUACAUCGGAACGUGCCCAAUCGUGGGGGAUAACGCAGCGAAAGCUGUGCUAAUACCGCAUACGAUCUACGGAUGAAAGCAGGGGAUCGCAAGACCUUGCGCGAAUGGAGCGGCCGAUGGCAGAUUAGGUAGUUGGUGGGAUAAAAGCUCACCAAGCCUUCGAUCUGUAGCUGGUCUGAGAGGACGACCAGCCACACUGGGACUGAGACACGGCCCAGACUCCUACGGGAGGCAGCAGUGGGGAAUUUUGGACAAUGGGCGCAAGCCUGAUCCAGCCAUGCCGCGUGCAGGAUGAAGGCCUUCGGGUUGUAAACUGCUUUUGUACGGAACGAAACGGCCUUUUCUAAUAAAGAGGGCUAAUGACGGUACCGUAAGAAUAAGCACCGGCUAACUACGUGCCAGCAGCCGCGGUAAUACGUAGGGUGCAAGCGUUAAUCGGAAUUACUGGGCGUAAAGCGUGCGCAGGCGGUUAUGUAAGACAGUUGUGAAAUCCCCGGGCUCAACCUGGGAACUGCAUCUGUGACUGCAUAGCUAGAGUACGGUAGAGGGGGGAUGGAAUUCCGCGUGUAGCAGUGAAAUGCGUAGAUAUGCGGAGG
rnacentral:rRNA from 1 species